UUUUAGGAGCUGUAUAGCCAGACGUAUGAUGAGAUUGGAGUCAUGUUUGCCUCCCUGCCCAACUUUGCUGACUUCUACACAGAGGAGAGCAUCAACAAUGGUGGUAUUGAGUGUCUGCGUUUCCUCAAUGAAAUCAUCUCGGAUUUUGACUCUCUCCUGGACAAUCCCAAGUUCCGGGUGAUCACCAAGAUCAAAACCAUUGGCAGCACGUAUAUGGCGGCUUCAGGAGUCACCCCCGAUGUCAACACCAAUGGCUUUGCCAGCUCCAACAAGGAAGACAAGUCCGAGAGAGAGCGCUGGCAGCACCUGGCUGACCUGGCCGACUUCGCGCUGGCCAUGAAGGAUACGCUCACCAACAUCAACAACCAGUCCUUCAAUAACUUCAUGCUGCGCAUAGGCAUGAACAAAGGCGGGGUUCUGGCUGGGGUCAUUGGAGCCCGGAAACCACACUACGACAUCUGGGGCAAUACAGUCAAUGUAGCCAGCAGGAUGGAGUCCACGGGGGUCAUGGGCAACAUUCAGGUAUGUCCAGUGGCACAGCUGGCACGUGCUCAGACUCGGCAUGAGAACAAAACCGGAACAGUGCUUUCCCACGUGCCCCUGCCUCCCACCCUGGCCCCGAACAGUAAGUCCAGAGGCAGAGACGUGGGGCGAGUGGAAAGGAAUCUCUGCAAUAGCUAGCCUCAGCACAGGAAGAAACACUUCCACCCAUCCACAAAAUCUGGGCUGAAGUUCUGGAUGCAUAUGGCCUACCUCUGGGUAUGAACCUUCUAAUACCUUGUGAUCUGUCUCAGUGGGGUCUGGCAGAAAAGCUCCACGAAAGGGGCAAAGGGACAGAAGAGCAGGCACUGGCAGUUUCCAGGUAACAGUGCUGCCACCCAUGGCCAUCCUAGGAGAGAAGUCUCUGGAUGAGAGGAGGCCGCCAGCCAGUCACCCCAGGGUUCUCCUUCCCACCCGCUGCUCGCCACGGGUGGAAGGGCUUGGCCCUGGGA
rnacentral:sRNA from 1 species